rnacentral:tRNA from 1 species
GCGCCUGUAGCUCAGUUGGAUAGAGCACCCGCCUUCUAAGCGGGCGGCCACAGGUUCGAACCCUGUCAGGCGCG